rnacentral:rRNA from 1 species
GACGAACGCUGGCGGCGUGCUUAACACAUGCAAGUCGAACGGUAAGGCCCUGCUUUUGUGGGGUGCUCGAGUGGCGAACGGGUGAGUAACACGUGAGUAACCUGCCCUCGACUUUGGGAUAACUUCAGGAAACUGGGGCUAAUACCGGAUAGGAGCUCGUGCUGCAUGGUGGGGGUGGGAAAGUUUCGGCGGUUGGGGCUGGACUCGCGGCUGAUCAGCUUGUUGGUGGGGUGGUGGCUUACCAAGGCUUUGACGGGUAGCCGGCCUGAGAGGGUGACCGGCCACAUUGGGACUGGGAUACGGCCCAGACUACUACGGGAGGCAGCAGUGGGGAAUAUUGCACAAUGGGCGGAAGCCUGAUGCAGCAACGCCGCGUGCGGGAUGACGGCCUUCGGGUUGUAAACCGCUUUCGCCUGUGACGAAGCGUGAGUGACGGUAAUGGGUAAAGAAGCACCGGCUAACUACGUG